rnacentral:rRNA from 1 species
AGAGUUUGAUCCUGGCUCAGAACGAACGUUGGCGGCGUGGAUUAGGCAUGCAAGUCGAACGAAUCCCUUGGGGCUUGCUCCAAGGGGGAAGUGGCGAAAGGGGCAGUAAGGCAUGGGUAACCUACCCCGGGGACGAGGAUAGCCAUCCUAACGGAUGGGUAAUACUUGGCGAUCUGGCGACGAGGCAUCUCGUUGCCAGG